UGUGGGGGGAUUAGUGGCGAACGGGUGAGUAACACGUGAGUAACCUGCCCUUAACUCUGGGAUAAGCCUGGGAAACUGGGUCUAAUACCGGAUAUGACUCCUCAUCGCAUGGUGGGGGGUGGAAAGCUUUAUUGUGGUUUUGGAUGGACUCGCGGCCUAUCAGCUUGUUGGUGAGGUAAUGGCUCACCAAGGCGACGACGGGUAGCCGGCCUGAGAGGGUGACCGGCCACACUGGGACUGAGACACGGCCCAGACUCCUACGGGAGGCAGCAGUGGGGAAUAUUGCACAAUGGGCGCAAGCCUGAUGCAGCGACGCCGCGUGAGGGAUGACGGCCUUCGGGUUGUAAACCUCUUUCAGUAGGGAAGAAGCGAAAGUGACGGUACCUGCAGAAGAAGCGCCGGCUAACUACGUGCCAGCAGCCGCGGUAAUACGUAGGGCGCAAGCGUUAUCCGGAAUUAUUGGGCGUAAAGAGCUCGUAGGCGGUUUGUCGCGUCUGCCGUGAAAGUCCGGGGCUCAACUCCGGAUCUGCGGUGGGUACGGGCAGACUAGAGUGAUGUAGGGGAGACUGGAAUUCCUGGUGUAGCGGUGAAAUGCGCAGAUAUCAGGAGGAACACCGAUGGCGAAGGCAGGUCUCUGGGCAUUAACUGACGCUGAGGAGCGAAAGCAUGGGGAGCGAA
rnacentral:rRNA from 1 species